rnacentral:rRNA from 1 species
GCUUGACUGUAAUUUGGAAUUGAAUUUGGGCUUUUUUUGCGCAGUCUAGGUGGGAGGCAUUGAUAUUAAGUUUUCGGACUUAAUGGAGCCANUCAGUGAGAGACCACUCUAAAAGAGCUAGAAUUCUAAUAGGACUCNCUUGAAUCAGGAUCCUUGACAGUUUCAGAUGGACAGUUUGACUGGGGCGGUGACCUCCAAAAAGGUAACGGAGGUGUGCAAAGGUUCCCUCAGGCUGGACGGAAAUCAGCUGUAGAGUGCAAAGGUAUAAGGGAGCUUGACUGCAAGACCAACAAGUCGAGCAGAGGCGAAAGCCGGCCUUAGUGAUCCGACGGUUCCGAGUGGAAGGGCCGUCGCUCAACGGAUAAAAGUUA